UACGUAGGAGGCAAGCGUUUGUCCGGAGUUACUGGGCGUAAAGCGCACGCAGGCGGUCUUGUCAGUCUGUAGGGACAGGGCACAGCUCAACUGUGUCAGGCUUAUGGAAACUGCAAGACUUGAGGGCUUCAGAGGGAUGGGGAAUUCCGGGUGGAGUGGUGAAAUGCGUAGAGAUCCGGAAGAACACCAAAGGCGAAGGCACCAUCCUGGGGAGUCACUGACGCUCGGGUGCGAAAGCUAGGGGAGCGAACGGG
rnacentral:rRNA from 1 species